GGAGUCUAGCAUGUGCGCGAGUCAUUGGGACAUGAUUAAACCUAAAGGCGUAAUGAAAGUAAAGGCCCGCCCUGGCGCGGGCCGAGGGAGGAUGGGUGGUCGUUACGGCUGCCGCUCCGCACUCCCGGGGCGUCUCGUUCUCAUUGCGAGAAGAGGCGCACCAAGAGCGUACACGCUGGGACCCGAAAGAUGGUGAACUAUGCCUGGUCAGGACGAAGUCAGGGGAAACCCUGAUGGAGGUCCGUAGCGAUUCUGACGUGCAAAUCGAUCGUCGGAACUGGGUAUAGGGGCGAAAGACUAAUCGAACCAUCUAGUAGCUGGUUCCCUCCGAAGUUUCCCUCAGGAUAGCUGGCGCUCGUAGCAUACGAGUUUCAUCCGGUAAAGCGAAUGAUUAGAGGCAUUGGGGUCGAAACGGCCUCAACCUAUUCUCAAACUUUAAAUGGGUGAGAUCUCCGGCUUGCUCGAACUCUUGAAGCCGCGAGACUCGAAUCAGAGUGCCAAGUGGGCCAUUUUUGGUAAGCAGAACUGGCGCUGUGGGAUGAACCAAACGCCGAGUUAAAGCGCCAAAAUCGACGCUUAUGGGAUACCAUGAAAGGCGUUGGUAACUUAAGACAUCAGGACGGUGGCCAUGGAAGUC
rnacentral:rRNA from 1 species